CUUUUCUUCUUAACAGUCUCUCACCCUGAAAUCGGUUUGUCCGGAGCUAGGGUUUAAUGGCCGGAAGAGCCCAGCACCUCUGCUGGGUCCGGUGCGCUCUCGACCUCCCUUGAAAAUCCGCGGGAAGGAAUAAUUCUCACGCCAGGUCGUACUCAUAACCGCAGCAGGUCUCCAAGGUGAACAGCCUCUGGUUGAUAGAACAAUGUAGAUAAGGGAAGUCGGCAAAAUAGAU
rnacentral:rRNA from 1 species